CCUGCGCGAAGCUGCGCAGCUCCCGCCAACUUUCCCAGAAGGCUUGUUUCUGCCGAAGCGGCUUUCACUGGGUUCACCUCAGUGGAGCUUCGGCCUGUGAGGACACUGUCUGAGAAACGUCUUCCGGAGCCGUGGCCCAGGAGGCGGUUCCCGGCGGCUGAGGCAGGAGGGCGAGAGGCGGUCGCGGCUCGGGCGCCGCCUUGGGUGAAACGCCGGUGACCUGCAGCAUGAACGCCAGUGUAUAGUAUAAUACGUGGACAGUGGACAGCAUCUUGAGUCUUCCCAGACUGCCUGGUGCAAGUGCCUGAACCAGAAAAAAACUUAACUCUAAAACCCCAUCUUCGGAACUCUCAACUCCCAACAUUCCCCGUGGGUGGAGCUCUCCACCGUGAACUCCAAGAGUGAGUGCUGCACUUCCGGGCUUCUAUUACUAAGGAGGGGACAAUGGCGAUGGCGGCUGCAAGUGUGGUCGUUCCUGCCGAGUGGAUAAAGAACUGGGAGAAAUCAGGAAGAGGAGAGUUUUUGCGUUUUUGCCGGAUUCUCAGUGAAAGUAAAAGCUGUGACAGUUUCGCUUAUAGAAAUUUCCAGCAAGCUCUCUAUGAGUUGUCCUACCAUGUCAUUAAAGGAAAUCUAAAGCCUGAACAGGCAUCGAAUGUUUUUAAUGAUAUUAAUGAAUUUCGUGAGGAUAUGCCUUUUAUUCUUGCUGAUAUAUUCUGCAUGUUAGAUAUUGAGACAAAUUGUUUAGAAGAAAAAAACAAGAGAGAUUAUUUUACACAAUUAGUAUUAGCAUGUUUGUAUUUAGUUUCAGACACAGUUCUAAAAGAACGCUUGGAUCCAGAAACAUUGGAAUCAUUAGGUCUUAUCAAACAGUCACAGCAGUUCAAUCAAAAGUCAGUUAAAAUCAAGACAAAACUCUUCUAUAAGCAACAGAAAUUCAAUUUGUUAAGAGAAGAAAAUGAAGGGUAUGCCAAGCUGAUUGCUGAACUGGGGCAAGAUUUAUCUGGAAAUAUUACUAGUGAUUUAAUCUUAGAAAUUCUGAAAUCUUUAAUUGGAUGCUUUAAUCUGGAUCCCAAUCGAGUUUUGGAUGUCAUUUUAGAAGUGUUUGAAUGCAGGCCAGAACACCAUGACUUCUUUAUAGCUUUAUUAGAAACUUACAUGAGUAUGUGUGAACCACAAACAUUGUGUCAUAUUCUUGGGUUCAAAUUCAAGUUUUACCAGGAACUAAAUGGUGAGACUCCAUCAUCUUUAUACAGAGUUGCAGCAGUACUUCUGCAAUUUAACCUUAUUGAUUUAGAUGAUCUUUAUGUACAUCUUCUUCCAGCUGAUAAUUACAUUAUGAAUGAGUACAAAAGAGAAAUUGUGGAAGCUAAGCAAAUUGUUAGAAAACUUACAGUGGUUGUAUUGCCUUCUGAAAAAAGUGAUGAGCGAGAGAAAGAAAAGAAAAGAGAUGAGAAAGUAGACAAGGCACCUGACAAUCAAAAACUUGGUUUACUGGACGCCCUGUUAAGUAUUGGUGAUUGGCAGCAUGCACAGAGCAUUAUGGAUCGGAUGCCUCCAUACUAUGCGGCUUCACAUAAAAUAAUAGCCCUUGCUGUUUGCAAGCUUAUACACAUAACUAUUGAGCCUCUUUACCGAAGAGUUGGUGUUCCUAAAGGCGCUAAAGGCGCACCUGUUGAUGCUUUACAAAACAAGAAGGCACCAAAGCAAGCAGAGAGCUUUGAAGAUUUAAGGAGAGAUGUAUUCAUUAUGUUAUGUUACCUUGGUCCUCACCUUUCUCAUGAUCCCAUUUUGUUUGCAAAAGUCGUGCGCAUAGGCAAGGCAUUUAUGAAAGAGUUUCAGUCUGAUGGAAAACAAGAAAAUAAAGACAAAAUGGAAGUUAUCCUUAGUUGUUUGCUUAGCAUUACUGACCAGGUACUGCUUCCUUCUCUUUCUUUGAUGGAUUGCAAUGCUUGUAUGUCAGAGGAACUGUGGGGAAUGUUUAAAACAUUUCCCUAUCAGCACAGAUAUCGUUUAUAUGGCCAAUGGAAGAAUGAAACUUAUAACAACCAUCCACUUUUAGUAAAAGUUAAAGCUCAUACAAUAGAGAGAGCCAAAUAUAUCAUGAAGCGUCUAACUAAGGAAAAUGUAAAGCCUUCAGGAAGACAAAUUGGGAAGUUGAGCCACAGCAAUCCCACCAUUUUGUUUGAUUAUAUCUUGUCCCAAGUACAGAAGUAUGAUAACUUAAUAACACCUGUAGUAGAUUCAUUGAAGUAUCUCACUGCAUUAAAUUAUGAUGUCUUGGCUUAUUGUAUCAUUGAAGCUUUAGCUAAUCCAGAAAAGGAAAGAAUGAAACAUGAUGAUACAACCAUCUCAAACUGGCUUCAGAGUCUGGCUAGUUUCUGUGGUGCAGUGUUUCGAAAAUACCCAAUUGAUCUUGCUGGUCUUCUUCAGUAUGUAGCCAAUCAAUUAAAGGCGGGCAAAAGUUUUGACCUUCUUAUAUUGAAAGAAGUGGUACAAAAAAUGGCAGGAAUAGAAAUUACAGAGGAAAUGACAAUGGAGCAGCUAGAGGCCAUGACUGGUGGAGAGCAGCUAAAAGCUGAGGGUGGAUAUUUUGGUCAGAUCAGAAAUACUAAAAAAUCCUCUCAGAGAUUAAAAGAUGCACUACUGGACCAUGAUCUUGCCCUUCCUCUUUGUUUGCUUAUGGCUCAGCAGAGGAAUGGAGUAAUCUUUCAGGAAGGUGGACAGAAGCAUUUGAAACUUGUAGGAAAGCUCUAUGACCAGUGUCAUGAUACAUUGGUACAGUUUGGUGGAUUUUUAGCAUCAAAUCUAAGCACAGAAGAUUACAUAAAGAGAGUACCUUCAAUUGAUGUGCUUUGUAGUCAAUUUCAUACACCCCAUGAUGCAGCAUUUUUUCUGUCUCGGCCGAUGUAUGCACACCAUAUUUCAUCAAAGUAUGAUGAACUUAAGAAAUCAGAAAAGGGUGGUAAACAGCAACAUAAAGUUCAUAAGUAUAUUACAUCAUGUGAGAUGGUCAUGGCUCCUGUCCAUGAAGCAGUGGUCUCUUUACACAUUUCCAAAGUCUGGGAAGAUAUCAGCCCUCAAUUCUAUACCACAUUCUGGUCACUGACUAUGUAUGACCUUGCAGUUCCACAUACCAGCUAUGAACGAGAAGUCAAUAAACUUAAAAUCCAGAUGAAAGCAAUUGAUGAUAAUCAAGAAAUGCCUCUAAAUAAAAAGAAAAAAGAGAAAGAACGUUGUAUUGCCCUUCAGGAUAAGCUCCUGGAAGAAGAAAAGAAGCAAAUGGAACAUGUACAGAGAGUUCUGCAGAGGCUGAAAUUGGAAAAGGACAACUGGCUUUUAGCAAAAUCUACUAAAAAUGAGACCAUCACAAAAUUUCUGCAGCUGUGUAUAUUUCCUCGAUGUAUUUUUUCAGCAAUUGACUCUGUUUAUUGUGCUCAUUUUGUUGAAUUGGUACAUCAACAGAAGACUCCAAAUUUUUCCACACUUCUUUGCUAUGACCGAGUUUUCUCUGACAUAAUUUACAUGGUCGCUAGCUUUACUGAAAAUGAAGCUAGUCGAUAUGGGAGAUUUUUGUGCUGCAUGUUAGAGACUGUGACUAGGUGGCAUAGUGAUAGAUCCACAUUUGAGAAGGAAUGUGGAAACUAUCCAGGAUUUCUGACCAUAUUACGAGCAACUGGAUUUGAUGGUGGAAAUAAAGCUGAUCAGUUAGAUUAUGAAAAUUUCCGGCACGUUGUACAUAAGUGGCAUUACAAACUAACCAAGGCAUCAGUACAUUGCCUUGAAACAGGUGAAUAUACUCAUAUCAGGAAUAUCUUGAUUGUGCUAACAAAAAUACUUCCUUGGUACCCCAAAGUUUUAAAUCUGGGUCAGGCUUUGGAAAGAAGAGUGCAUAAAAUCUGCCAAGAAGAGAAAGAAAAGAAGCCAGACCUAUAUGCAUUAGCGAUGGUCUACUCUGGACAGUUGAAAAGUAGAAAGCCAUAUAUGAUACCUGAAAAUGAAUUUCAUCACAAAGACCCUCCUUCAAGAAAUACUGCCAGUGUACAAAAUGGGCCUAGUGGUGGGCUGCCUUCUUCAUCCAUGGGAAGUGUACCUAAAUCAGAUGAAAGCAGUACAGAGGAGGGUGAUAAAUCAAGGGAAAAAUCUCAGUGUGGUGUGAAAGCUGUCAGUAAAACUUCUAGUGCCACAACAAAAGGGAAUUCAAGCAAUGGAAAUAGUGGCUCUAACAGCAGAGCUGUUAAAGAAAAUGACAAAGAAAAAGGGAAAGAGAAAGAAAAAGAGAAGAAAGAAAAGACCUCAGCCUCUACCCCAGAGGCCAGAGUACUUGGUAAAGACAGUAAAGAAAAAUCAAAAGAAGAACAGCCAAAUAAAGAUGAAAAAGCAAGAGAUAUCAAAGAAAGAACACCUAAGUCUGACAAAGAGAAGGAUAAAAAGAAGGAAGAAAAGGCUAAAGAUGAGAAAUUCAGGAUUGUCCCCAAUGUAGAAUCAAAAUCGACUCAAGAAAGGGAAAGGGAGAAAGAGCCACCCAGAGAUAAAGAUUGGGCAAAGGAAAUGAAGUCAAAAGAAAAUGUUAAAGGAGGAGAAAAAGCACCAGCUUCUGGGUCCUCAAAGUCACCUGUUCCCCGAGCAGAUAUUAUAGAGCCUGAAAGGGAACAAAAACGUCGCAAGGUUGAUUCCCAUCCUUCUCCAUCACAUUCCUCCAUGAUAAAGGACAGUCUCAUGAAACUUAAGGAGUCUUCAGCAAAGCUCUGCAUUAAUCAUACUCUACCACCACACUGCAAGAGUAAGGAGAGAGAAAUGGACAAGAAAGAUUUGGACAGGUCAAGAGAAAGAUCCAAGGAAAGAGAGAAAAAGGAUGAAAAGGACAGGAAGGAACGGAAAAGAGAUCAUUCAAAUAAUGACCGUGAAGUGACACUAGACUUAGUGAAAAGGCGAAAAGAAGAAAAUGGAACAAUGGGGGUUUCAAAACAUAAAAGUGAAAGUCCCAAUGAGUCUUUCUAUCCAAAUGAGAAAGACAAGGAAAAAAACAAGUCAAAAUCCUCAGGCAAAGAAAAAGGCAGUGAUUCAUUUAAGUCUGAAAAGAUGGAUAAAGUCUCCAGUGGCAAAAAAGAGUCAGGGCAUGAUAAAGAAAAAAUAGAAAAGAAAGAGAAAUGGGACAAUUCCGGAGAAAAGGAAGAGAAGAAACAUCAUAAGUCCUCAGACAAGCACAGAUAAUGAAGACUUUCAACCAAGAAUAUGGACAGACCUCUGAGCUGAAGGUUUCCCAGCAGAGGAUGCCAGAGAUCUGUAUGACAUUCUCAAAACAAUAUCUCUUAAUUAAGAGCUUUUGGUACUGUUCAUCUUAUGGUAAUCUGCUUUAAGCCAGAAAAUGAAUACAUACCAUCAUCCUUUUGAGACACUGCAAAGUCACUGGUUUGCAGAACAUUUUUACCUCUAGGCAGUUUCUUGCAGCAAGAUCCUGUGUGUACAGUUUUUUUUUUUUUCUUUCUUGAGACACACCGUCCAGAUACAGCAUCUGUGAAAAUGUUAUCAACUGAGUUUUAGAUUGCUCUUCUUUCUCAGAAAGGCCCAGACAGGUCAGACUUCUAAGGGCUACAUGAAGAUUGAGCCCUGCCCUGCUUUGCCUACCAGUUCAUGAGCUAAAACAGUGGACUGUGAUCUCUACACAGACCAGUAAUGCAGUGACUGCAUAAGCUGCCCCCAAGCUAUUCUUACCAUGGACCAUCAAUUGGAUGUUCCCUCUCACCAGAGUACCCUGCCUUUUGUGCACCUGAUUCCUAGAAAUGAUAAGCACAUCCUUAAUCUGUGGUACCUUUUCUGAUAUGCUAUUUCAUCUCACAUCAUUGACAAAGAGAAAUAUAUACAGCUCCUACUGUGUGCCAGGCACAGUUCAAAGAUAAAUUAUCUUCUCUCCCUCACAAAAUGCCAUUAAGUUGGAUUUACACAAGUAGAAUUAUGUAUAGAGUGGGAGAAGAGAAUGAGUCACCACUUGGGAGUAAUUGCAACUUACAGUGGAUUUUGCUCUUACUUGGAUUUGUUAAGAAUGAGAGGAAAUACCUGACCACAUUCCUGACUUCAGGAAGAAUAUCUGGCUGGAUCAAGAAACAUGAUCAACUUUUUUCACUUAUCAUUAUAUAAGACCAACAUUAACCUGUUCUCUGUGGUCAGGUUAUUGGUUAAAUUCCCAGAGAGUGUGAUGUAAAGCUGAUCUGCUACCUUACAACUUUUUAUUUAUUCUGCCAGCCCAUGAGAUUUUCUUCUGUUUCUUUAUCCUGUACUAUAUGAUAGAAGACACACUGAAAAUUUGGAUUUGCAGACUACACUAUUAGGAUUUGAUGAAAUUGCCUGGAUAUUUUAUAUCGAUCAUCAUGCUCUUCAGAUUCAUUAGUGUUAGCAGAACCAUAAGUCAGCUCUCACCAAUAGACCUCUCUGGAUUUGCCAUUAUGUUCUUCAUUAUUUUCUUGGCAUAUACUCAGUUAGCAUAGCUCAUCUUUUACACUCAAAUGGAUGACGUCAGUACUUUCCAAGAAUACAUAAGGGCCAUGUUGAUACAGAGACUGAAACAAUGUUCAUGAAGUAUGCCAAGAUCAAAACCAGAAACUGACUGAGUGUGAAUGUCAGCAGAUGAAAAAUGAUUUGGGGCAAGCAGAGAAUGACAAACAGUGUGGUAACAGUGAGAUGCACAGGGAACACAUGGAAUGGCUGGUGCAGGAAAAGUUGGAGUGCUGGGAAUCUGAUGGUGCAGUGUCCCAGACAGGUCACUGUCUCAGCAUAACAGUGGGACUCAGCAGUCACCCUUGCCCCAGAAGUCUCCUUGCCUCCUCUCAGGCUACAGAGGGCCUGGAAGAUGGAAGUGGAAAUGGAAGUAUCAGUAUCCAAUUGUGAUAAUCCACAUGUGUUGCUGUAUGUGCUCCUGAGAGGUGCUGUCUGGUCUUGCCAUGACAGGUGCACUAUUUAUGUGCCUUACUAUCAUAUGAUGCUAGUCUUUGUGAACAAUUAUUAAUCUCCUGCAUUGAAUUUUUACUUUUCCUCACAUGAGAGAUAUAAUUGUAAAUAGUGAACUAAGAAAAAAAUUGAAAAAAGUAUGUCCAGUUGCUGCCCUGCCUGGAAGUUAGGUGACAAUGAAGUAACCUUUAAAGCUAGAUGGGAACUGUCAACAGACUUUGAGUUCAUUUUGAGCUAGAAAAGUCAGUACUGGUAUUUUUAUCCAAUAGUUGAAGGGAAAGUACGGCAUUUCUUUCCAUUCAGAUGGAACUGUGUAGUUGCUUAAUGUACAGCUUUCCCUGAAGAAAGGAGUCUUUCAACUACCCUCUAUGGGUGAACUUUUCUAAGGAGGGACAAGAGGUCCAAGCCAUAACAUGAAUAUGUAGCCACUAUGCUAGUUUAUAUGAAUGGUUGAGAUAAACGGGAUGCUUUGUCUUUUGUCUCCUUAUAAUUAAUGUCUGGAUCCAUUAAUUAUAUGUAUAAUCCACUGUUUCACUUUAUUUUUAUACUUUAUUUGCUGUUACUUUGCAUUAUAACUCUACGAAUGGCCUUAGAAAUAGCCAAAUACAACACAGAAUUAUAAGGUGCCACAAAUUAAAACUGUUUGAUUUUUCUACAGUU